rnacentral:misc_RNA from 1 species
GAUGAAGAACGUAGCGAAAUGCGAUAAGUAAUGUGAAUUGCAGAAUUCAGUGAAUCAUCGAAUCUUUGAACGCACAUUGCGCCCGCCAGUAUUCUGGCGGGCAUGCCUGUUCGAGCGUCAUUACAACCCUCAGGCCCCCGGGCCUGGCGUUGGGGAUCGGCGGAAGCCCCCUGCGGGCACAACGCCGUCCCCCAAAUACAGAGGCGGUCCCGCCGCAGCUUCCAUUGCGUAGUAGCUAACACCUCGCGACUGGAGAGCGGCGCGGCCACGCCGUAAAACACCCAACUUCUGAAUGUUGACCUCGAAUCAGGUAGGAAUACCCGCUGAACUUAAGCAUAUCAAUAAGCGGAGGA